rnacentral:rRNA from 1 species
UACGGGGGGGGCAAGCGUUGUUCGGAAUUACUGGGCGUAAAGGGCUCGUAGGCGGCCAACUAAGUCGGACGUGAAAUCCCUCGGCUUAACCGGGGAACUGCCAUUGAUACUGACGGGCUUGAGUUCGGUUAAGGCGGGCGGAACUGGUGGUGUAGCGGUGAAAUGCAUAGAUACCACCAAGAACCCCGAUUGCGUAGGCAGCUCGCUGAGCCGAAACUGACGCUGAGGCACGAAAGCGUGGGGAGCGAACAGG